CAGCCCUGAUCAGCCUAUCCAUGGCCUCGUGGAUGGAGCUUGUUUGCAGGUAGCUGAAACAAAAUCUCCUGCCACAGCCCUGACCUGUAUCCCCGAACAAAGCAUCCCUUAUUCAGUGGAUAAGCAAAGGGGAACAUCGGUUUUCAGAUUAUCUGCAUCCCAGCGUUCCCUCGGAGGGGGACAUGGCGAUGGAAGGUCUCUGUUCGGUGACCCAACAACAGGGCCUUUAUUGCCAGGCAGGGAUGAAAGGCCCAUCACAGCUGCUGGCUCAGCCCGUCCGUGACAGAGCGUGUUUGCACAAACAAUGCUGAAAUUAAAGCCCCCGAGUUCAAAACCUCAUUGUCUGAAAAGCACUUCAUGAAUCCAUCCCCCUCCUUUUCUAAUAAAAAAGGGAUGCGUUUUCUUCCUGCCGCGACAGAAGGUAGUUCUACAUCAUGCUGGUCCUACAAGUGUUGGUAAAUUGCUUUUUGAUGGGUGAAGCAAAGCGUGUGUGGGGUGCCCAUGGACUGGCUGGUGGUGAGUGAGAGUGGUGGUGAAUGGAGCUCCUUCCAGUUGGUGACUGGUCAUGAGUGGUGUUCCCCAGGGGUCGGUGUGGGGCCCGUGCUCUUCAAUAUCUCUACUGAUGGCCUGGAUGAGGGCACUGAGUGCACCCUCAGUACGUUUGCAGAUAGAUGACACCAAGCUGGGGAAAGUGUGGGUCUGCCUGGGGUUAGGAAGGCCCUACGGAGGGAUCUGGGCAGGCUGAUCACUGGGCUGAGGCCAAUGGGAUGGAGUUCAAGAAGAUCGAGUGCCGGGUCCUGUGCUUUGGCCACAGCAACCCCAUGCAAUGCUGCAGGUGUGGGACAGUGGCUGGAAGCUGUGGGAGGAAAAGGAGCUGGGGCUUAUCUGCCCUAUCAGGAUCUGAAUGUAAGAUAUGGGAAAGACAAAGUCCUCCUUGCAGAACUAGCCAGCUCCUGGGCUCACGGAGAAGAUUCCGAGCAGAGCAGAGGGAUAAGAAUAAGAAUUGGUUUUUCCCAAAGGCAAAAUGAGUCGAAGGUCAGAGCUGCCCCACGUGCUGCCCAUCCCUGCUUGGAGCAGCUCAAGAUUUCUGGCCCCAGAUCUUCCAAGGAGAUUUUUACCAGGCAGUUCAUAGUGUCACGUCAAGAGCUGAGACCACCCAGCUCUUCCCGAUGCUCUGUUUGUGGUCUCUCAUCACCAAAGUGCCAUGCUCACAGCCCAGAUGGGUUUACGUCUGUUUUAGAGGCCAGAGGCCAGAGUGAUCUCCCAGAAGAAAUCUAAGCAGGGUGUGAAAUAACAGGAGGAUGCAAAGAGCCUGGACAAAGGAUGUCAUUCUGCAAGCCAAGCUGUAUUGGCAGAGCUCCUGCUACCUCUUCAUGGUCACCAGCAGGGAAAUGGACCCACUUGACUGGCUGCACUGGUUGGGCCAGGAUUAGCUGCAAAAGCUUCUUGUCCCUGGGCUUCCAUGGUGCCGGGGCAGGGCAAAACCCAAAUUAACUUCAGCAAUAAGCAAACAAAUCCCUAACGAUGGAGGAGGGGCAGGGCUGAGUGCACAGCUGGGCAGAGCAGAGAUGACUUCUCAACCUGUGGUCAGAGCAGGGCUGGGUACAGCAUCAUCAGAGCAUCCUGUAUUCCUAACGCAGGAGCACGGGCUGCACCCUGGCUGCGGGGCGAGACGGUGUCCUAUUAAUUGAUUUUGCCAACCUCAGAAGUUGAAAAGCAUUUUGCCUUCAUCCUCUGGAAUGCAAAACGCAUCCUCUUCCUCUCCAACCACAGUGGGUUCCACGGAGCAGAGAGCUGAUUCGUUUAGUUAAAACAGAUUAAAAUAGCUCGAGGAUCUUCAUGUUCAGUGAGCAAUGCUGGGGACAAGCAGGAGGACGCUGCAGGCACACUCCAUACAUCGUGCCAGUAAGUCCCAACCAUCUCCCCAGCACGGUUUGGACUCACCCAAAAGACAGUGGAGCCCAUGUAAAAAUCCUCCCUUCAAUCCAGGUUUUUAAAACCCCCAAAGAGCCCAUUUGGACCCAUUUCAUGAGCUGUCUCACAGCAGAGGGUGGAUCCCAGCUCAGGCGUGCAGCUGCUCACAAUCCCAGCAGCACAGGAACCUGUUGGUCUCGUCUCUUCUCCACCUUUCUGCUCCACCUGCCCACAUCCAGUCCCUGCACAAAGCAUCCCAGCCUUCUCGCCUUCAGAAAGCACGAUGAGGGCAGAGAAAGGCCCUCAGCAUCUCCCAACAUCCUCCUGGGGCCAAACCUGCCUGGACUUCUGUUGGUUCCAUUUUCAGCUUUCCCUCCUUUCCCUGCUCUUUUUCCUUCUCUGGAUGCUCUGCAGCGUUUCCAGUGCUUUAAACACACCUUUUUUUAUCCUCUCCUCAAAAAUCCUCUGGUUUAGGAGUGCUCACAUUCCAUGGGUGGGCACCCCAAGUCCAAUUUGGGGUGAGCAGCCACCACCAGAGUGCUGCGAACCAUGGGGGCACCGAUGCAAAUCCUCAUUCUGACUGGUACAACUCCACUCUUGGGGGCAGAUUUCCCCCUCUCAGUCUGCAGGACAGGUUGGAGAGGCCACAGCAAAUUUGCCUCGAAGACGAAGUAGCAUCUGGGGUGGAAAGGUUACAACAAAGACUCUUCCAGUAUUUG
ensembl:lncRNA